UACGGGGGAUGCGAGCGUUAUCCGGAUUUAUUGGGUUUAAAGGGUGCGUAGGCGGCGCUUCAGGUCAGCGGUGAAAUACCGGGGCUCAACCCCGGGGCUGCCGUUGAAACCGGAGCGCUAGAAUUCCGAUGCCGUCGGAGGAAUGUGUGGUGUAGCGGUGAAAUGCAUAGAUAUAUGGAAGAACACCAGUGGCGAAAGCGGCUCUCUGGUCUGUAACUGACGCUGAGGUUCGAAAGCGUGGGUAGCAAACAGG
rnacentral:rRNA from 1 species